AAAAACGGCGGAAGAAAAAGAAUAAUAACUAGUAUCUCAAUUGUUUGUAAAACAAUUGAAAGGUCUUUCCUGUAAAAGUGAUGUUUUCGUAUUGUACUUUGUACGACCUUUCGUUUGAUAUACGACAAGCACACCUUCUGAAACUUUUCGCUUUUUACACUUAAUGACCUCAUCCGUCUACAUUUUUGAGAUCGGAAUUAUGAUAUAUGGAACAGAGUAGAUGAGCUUUCGUUUGAUAUGCGACAACACCAUGUUCUUGAAAGUUUGAGUUUUGCACUUAAUAACCCUAUCCAACAAAUUUUUGGAGGUCGGGAAUUUGAUAUUUCAAAUGUACACAUCAUGACCUUUCAUUUGAUAUACAACAACCCUACCUUAAAAGAACAUUUAUUUUUUGCACUCAAUGACCCAUCCAACCCAUUUUUGGGAGACGUCAAUUUGAAAUUUGAAAUGUACGCUUUAUGUUCUUUCAUUUGAUAUGCGACAACCUUACCAUCUGAGAAAUUUGAAUGUUUGCACUAAAUGACCCCACCCGUCCCCCUGGGAUGAAAAGGGGGUUUAAAAUUUUCAUUUUUAAGUAGAGUACAUUUAGACCUUCAAUUUGAUAUAUCAGAUGACCCCAUUUGACAAAGUGCAAAAAAUGAUGCAAUAUCAACUAUAUAAAUAGAAGUUAUGAAACUUACAAAGUCAAUGCAAAACUUGAAAAUUUCAAAUUGAAUUUUUGGCGUUUUUUUCCAUGGAAUGUUUUUGGUAUUUGGUCAAACAUAUAACUAUAUUAACCUCUUCAAUUUCUAAACAUUUUAAGUGGUAAGCUGUUGUUGAUUCAGAAAUACAUGCCGCCGCUCGGAAAAUUUCAAACUGGAUUAUCUCUAAAACGACAAUAGAUAUCUCAAAUCUGUUAAAUGGUAAAUGAUCUAAGUUAAAGGACAACAUCAUAGAAAAAGAAUUUGGACAAUUUCAAAGUUCACCAAGGUCACAAUUAAUCAUCAAAUAUAUGAUGCAAUACCAAACUUCAGAACCGGAAGUCGUAGAGAUAUGGGACUAUCACCAUUCAACUCAGGACCACUUGACCUUUCAAAUAUCACAAGGUCAAGGUCAUAGUAUAAUGUGAAGGUCAAGGUGAAAUUUCAUCAUGACCUGACAUUGACCUCAAAUUGAAGGUCUUGAAUUACUGAUCAUCUUUGCAGUUUAUAGUAAGUUGAUAUCUGUUACCUUUAAAAAGAUAUACACAAAAUACUAUACUUUUAAUAAUCAUCCUGUCGUAACUUUUGAACAGACAGUCGGACACUUUUGAGCUCAGUGUAUAAAAUGUAGAGCUCAUAGAGAGGAACAUUUUAUACUCUGUAAGUAUGCAGCAAACUCUUAUCGUUUUCUUAAUAUGCAAGCUUGAAAUUGCAGCGUAAUUUUUUUUUGCACUUGGUGACCUUUGACCUUGGGUUGAAAUUAAAGGUCACAUGAACUUAAGAUUAUUGGUGUAGGUCCCAAGUCUUUACGACAUCCGGUUCUGGAGAUACAAUUUUUCAAAAAUUGUGUAAUAUUUUUCAAGGGAAAUAACUCCUUAUAAGGGUUAACAACAAAAUGAUUGUAUAUGUUCAUUAUCAUUGCCAUCUGGUCUUGUACAUGUUGCAGUUUUCAAAUCAAUUCUAUCUUGAAUACUUUUUGAGAAAAAUGUAAAAGAAAGAAAUUGCUUCAAGGGGACGUAACUCUCAUAGGGAAUAAUGAAAUCCUUAGCAGCCUCAUAUGGUAACACAUCAUGAUAAGAUCUAACUGUUGUCCAAAUAAGGUCAUGAUAUCUUCAAAAACAACGAGGGGGGGCCAUGUCGAAAAAAAACCAAUAAAAGGGAGAUAACUUCUAAAGGGGAUGAUGAAAUCCUACACAGCCUCAUCUGUUAAUACUUCAUGAUGAGGUCUACCGAUGGUCCAUAUUUGGUCUUGAUAACUCCAAUAGAAAGGAGGGGAGGCCAUGUCAAACAAAUGCUGGAUGAAAAAAAAAAAAAAAAAAAAAAAAAAAAAAAAAAAAAACAGGAGAAAAACAAUAAGGUCUUUCCUCGCGGAGAGGAAAGACCUUAAUAAUAAACAAACGAAAUA
rnacentral:lncRNA from 1 species